UGACAAGUGGUCUUGCAGUGCCUGAGGC
rnacentral:piRNA from 1 species